UACGUAGGGUGCGAGCGUUAAUCGGAAUUACUGGGCGUAAAGCGUGCGCAGGCGGUUCGGAAAGUCAGGUGUGAAAUCCUAGAGCUUAACUUUGGAACUGCAUUUUUAACUCCCGGUCUAGAGUGUGUCAGAGGGGGGUAGAAUUCCACGUGUAGCAGUGAAAUGCGUAGAGAUGUGGAGGAAUACCGAUGGCGAAGGCAGCCCCCUGGGACAACACUGACGCUGAGGCACGAAAGCGUGGGGAGCAAACAGG
rnacentral:rRNA from 1 species